GACGAACGCUGGCGGCGUGCCUAAUACAUGCAAGUAGAACGCUGAAGGAGGAGCUUGCUUCUCUGGAUGAGUUGCGAACGGGUGAGUAACGCGUAGGUAACUUGCCUGGUAGCGGGGGAUAACUAUUGGAAACGAUAGCUAAUACCGCAUAAGAUUGACUAUUGCAUGAUAGUCAGUUAAAAGGUGCAAUUGCAUCACUACCAGAUGGACCUGCGUUGUAUUAGCUAGUUGGUGGGGUAACGGCUCACCAAGGCGACGAUACAUAGCCGACCUGAGAGGGUGAUCGGCCACACUGGGACUGAGACACGGCCCAGACUCCUACGGGAGGCAGCAGUAGGGAAUCUUCGGCAAUGGACGGAAGUCUGACCGAGCAACGCCGCGUGAGUGAAGAAGGUUUUCGGAUCGUAAAGCUCUGUUGUAAGAGAAGAACGAGUGUGAGAGUGGAAAGUUCACACUGUGACGGUAUCUUACCAGAAAGGGACGGCUAACUACGUG
rnacentral:rRNA from 1 species